AUACCUUUCUCGGCCUUUUGGCUAAGAUCAAGUGUAGUAUCUGUUCUUAUCAGUUUAAUAUCUGAUAUGUGGACCAUUGGUUCACACGAUAUUAAAUUUAUUUUUUGAGGGGAGGGGUCUAUUACAGUAGCUUGCUAUUGAGGCUCUCAAGUGUCGCUCUUGUUUUGCACUACUGCAAGGGCCUGGCACGUCCCAC
rfam:Glycine soja cultivar W05 scaffold1087_27, whole genome shotgun sequence.